ensembl:snoRNA
GCUGUAAUGUGUGCAUAGUUUUCAUCUAUGUCUGGUAGCAGUAUCUGUUUGUGUUUUACAUUCAGAUCUCGCUGUCCACACAAAUACUCUGCAGCCUUAGAGUAACUUGGGAUCAUAGUACUGGUCUAGUGUUGUCUCUUUGGACACAUUCGCCACUGGCCAGCCUCCAAACUCCCAUACAUAC